rnacentral:rRNA from 1 species
UACGGAGGGUGCGAGCGUUGUCCGGAAUCACUGGGCGUAAAGGGCGCGUAGGCGGCCUGAUAAGUAGGGGGUGAAAUCUUGCGGCUUAACCGCAAGGCUGCCUUCUAAACUGUCGGGCUAGAGCACAGUAGAGGCAGGUGGAAUUCCCGGUGUAGCGGUGGAAUGCGUAGAGAUCGGGAGGAACACCUGAGAUGUAGAUGGCUUACUGGACCGUAACUGACGCUGAGGCACGAAAGCGUGGGUAGCAAACAGG